UAACGCGUGAGUAACCUGCCCUUAAGUCUGGGAUACCAUUUGGAAACAGAUGCUAAUACCGGAUAAAAGCUACUUUCGCAUGAAAGAAGUUUAAAAGGCGGCGUAAGCUGUCGCUAAAGGAUGGACCUGCGAUGCAUUAGCUAGUUGGUAAGGCAACGGCUUACCAAGGCGAUGAUGCAUAGCCGAGUUGAGAGACUGAUCGGCCACAUUGGGACUGAGACACGGCCCAAACUCCUACGGGAGGCAGCAGGC
rnacentral:rRNA from 1 species